ensembl:snRNA U6 U6 spliceosomal RNA
AUGCUUGCUUCGGCAGCCCAUAUACCAAAAUUGGAGCAACGCAGAGAUUAGUAUGGUCCCUGCUCAAGGCUGGCAUGCAGGUUCCUGAAGCCCUCCACUUUGUU